rnacentral:rRNA from 1 species
ACGGGGUGCAGCAGGCGCGAAAACUUCACAAUGUGGGAAACCGCGAUGAGGGGAUUCCAAGUGCCAACACUUUGUGUUGGCUGUUCACCUGCCUAAAAAGCUGGUGAAGUAAGGGCCGGGUAAGACGGGUGCCAGCCGCCGCGGUAAUACCUGCGGCCCGAGUGGUGGUCGUUAUUAUUGAGCCUAAAGCGUCCGUAGCCGGUUCAGUAAAUCUCUGGGUAAAUCGGGCAGCUCAACUGUCCGACUUCCGGAAAGACUGCUGAACUUGGGACCGGGGGAGGUUGGAGGUACUCCUGGGGUAGGGGUGAAAUCCUGUAAUCCUAGGGGGACCACCAGUGGCGAAGGCGUCCAACCAAAACGGCUCCGACGGUAAGGGACGAAGCCCUGGGGCGCAAACGGGAUUAGAUACCCCGGUAGUCCAGGGUGUAAACGCUGCAGGCUUGGUGUUGGGGGUCCUACGAGGGCGCCCAGUGCCGGAGAGAAGUUGUUAAGCCUGCCGCUUGGGAGUACGUCCGCAAGG